UCUGCUCACAGGUGCUUUCUGCCUGAUCACCACCUGGAGAGGAGUUUGGAGCUUUAAUUCCCCUGGAAGUUGAGAUGGACUUGAGGACUCUGGGGAAGAGGACUGGUGCCCUCUAGAAGAAAAGACAGCACAAUACCAUUACAAUAACGAUGAUGAUCCUUUACAUUCUGGUUUUCAGGAUCAACAGGACGCCUUCCCCAAGCUGCCUAUAGGGUGUAUCAAUAGCCCUGGGAUUCCCCAUGGGACUUGCAGACAGGACCUAGAUGCCUGCCCUGGCUUCUCCGCCGCCCCCCCGAAAUUCGGCUGUGGCUUGUGUCGAUGACAACGUCCUCACUGGACCUGUCCAAGACUCGGUCUCCCAGGCCGUCACAACUAAAACCCAGAGCUUAGCCACUUUCUUCUUGAUCCUCAUGAGGACCUGACUUGGGCCAAUGACUCUUCAACCAUCUUCAGCCUGUGUUCACUCAUCAUCCAGCAGAAGCCAAGCAAACCGCCACCCCCAGUCUCUGGAGAGCAAGGUGCCCUCGUCUGCUGCCCAUGUCCUUUGCUCCACCACAGGCACUGUGGAUCCCAGGGGGUGGAAUGAAACCUCUCCCAGACCAGAAGUGAGAAGACUCAGUUCUCUUACAUAAUGAAAGACAUGAUAAAUCAACAUGAAGCACAGGAAAUUAUGCUGAUAAGACGAAGAAUCUGGGCCUUUCAGGCAGCUUACCCGGAAGGUAAGGAAAAGCCUUUUACAAGGUCUUAUUGAGAGCAGACCUAAGAAAAUGUUUG